rnacentral:rRNA from 1 species
AGCAGCCGCGGUAAUUCCAGCUCCAAUAGCGUAUAUUAAAGUUGCUGCAGUUAAAAAGCUCGUAGUUGAAUUUCGGGACUAAUAUGUUGGUCGUGCCUCGGUACGUACUGAUAUUUUUGGUUUCUCCCUUCUGACGAACCUUGAUGUCAUUAAUUUGGUGUCUUGGGAAAUCAGGACUGUUACUUUGAAAAAAUUAGAGUGUUUAAAGCAGGCUCACGCUUGAAUACAUUAGCAUGGAAUAAUGAAAUAGGACGUUUGAUUCUAUUUUGUUGGUUUCUAGGAUCGACGUAAUGAUUAAUAGGGAUAGUUGGGGGCAUUAGUAUUCAAUUGUCAGAGGUGAAAUUCUUGGAUUUAUUGAAGACUAACUACUGCGAAAGCAUUUGCCAAGGAUGUUUUCAUUAAUCAAGAACGAAAGUUAGGGGAUCGAAGACGAUCAGAUACCGUCGUAGUCUUAACCAUAAACUACGCCGACUAGGGAUCGGAUGAUGUUAAUUUUUAAUGACUCAUU